UACGUAGGGGGGCAAGCGUUGUCCGGAUUUAUUGGGCGUAAAGAGCGUGUAGGCGGCCACACAGGUCAGCUGUGAAAACUCGAGGCUCAACCUCGAGACGUCGGUUGAAACCGUAUGGCUAGAGUCCGGAAGAGGAGAGUGGAAUUCCCGGUGUAGCGGUGAAAUGCGCAGAUAUCAGGAGGAACACCGGUGGCGAAGGCGGGUCUCUGGGCCGAUACUGACGCUGAGGAGCGAAAGCGUGGGGAGCAAACAGG
rnacentral:rRNA from 1 species